UGGGGAAUUUUCCGCAAUGGGUGAGAGCCUGACCCAGCCAUGCCGCGUGCCGGAAGACGGCCCUCAGGGUUGUAAACGGCUUUUAUGUAGGAACAAAAAGGGGUGUGCGCACCCCAUUGAGGGUACUAUAUGAAUAAGCACCGGCUAACUCCGUGCCAGCAGCCGCGGUAAUACGGAGGGUGCCAGCGUUGUCCGGAUUUAUUGGGUUUAAAGGGUACGUAGGCGGGCUGUUAAGUCUGAGGUGAAAGCUCCUAGCUCAACUAGGAAAUUGCCUUGGAUACUGGCAGUCUUGAGUACAGUAGAGGUGGGCGGAAUUCAUGGUGUAGCGGUGAAAUGCAUAGAUACCAUGAGGAACACCGAUAGGGAAGCCAGUUCACUGGACUGUUACUGACGCUGAGGUACGAAAGCGUGGGGAGCGAACAGGAUUAGAUACCCCCGUAGUCC
rnacentral:rRNA from 1 species